UAGUCCACACCGUAAACGAUGAAUGCUAGUCGUUGGGAGGCAUGCCUUUCAGUGACGCAGCUAACGCAAUAAGCAUUCCGCCUGGGGAGUACGGUCGCAAGAUUAAAACUCAAAGGAAUUGACGGGGGGCCCGCACAAGCGGUGGAGCAUGUGGUUUAAUUCGAAGCAACGCGCAGAACCUUACCACUCUUUGACAUCCUGAUCGCGAUUUGUGGAGACACAUUUCUUCAGUUCGGCUGGAUCAGUGACAGGUGCUGCAUGGCUGUCGUCAGCUCGUGUUGUGAGAUGUUGGGUUAAGUCCCGNAACGAGCGCAACCCUCACCAAUAGUUGCCAGCAUUUAGUUGGGCACUCUAUUGGAACUGCCGGUGAUAAACCGGGAGGAAGGGUGGGGGAU
rnacentral:rRNA from 1 species